UCAAAGGAAUUGACGGGGACCCGCACAAGCGGCGGAGCAUGCGGAUUAAUUCGAUGCAACGCGAAGAACCUUACCAAGGCUUGACAUAUAGAGGAAACGUCUGGAAACAGUCGCCCCGCAAGGUCUCUAUACAGGUGGUGCAUGGUUGUCGUCAGCUCGUGUCGUGAGAUGUUGGGUUAAGUCCCGCAACGAGCGCAACCCUCGUUCUAUGUUGCCAGCACGUAAUGGUGGGAACUCAUGGGAUACUGCCGGGGUCAACUCGGAGGAAGGUGGGGAUGACGUCAAAUCAUCAUGCCCCUUAUGUCUUGGGCUUCACGCAUGCUACAAUGGCCGGUACAAAGGGCUGCAAUACCGUGAGGUGGAGCGAAUCCCAAAAAGCCGGUCCCAGUUCGGAUUGAGGUCUGCAACUCGACCUCAUGAAGUCGGAGUCGCUAGUAAUCGCAGAUCAGCAACGCUGCGGUGAAUACGUUCCCGGGUCUUGUACACACCGCCCGUCAAGUCAUGAAAGUCGGUAACACCUGAAGGCCGGUGGCCCAACCCUUGUGGAGGGAGCCGUCCGAACGGUGGGAUCGGUAAUUAGG
rnacentral:rRNA from 1 species